rnacentral:rRNA from 1 species
AGACCCGAAACCCGGUGAUCUAGCCAUGGGCAGGUUGAAGGUUGGGUAACACUAACUGGAGGACCGAACCGACUAAUGUUGAAAAAUUAGCGGAUGACCUGUGGCUGGGGGUGAAAGGCCAAUCAAACCGGGAGAUAGCUGGUUCUCCCCGAAAGCUAUUUAGGUAGCGCCUCGUGAAUUCAUCUCCGGGGGUAGAGCACUGUUUCGGCUAGGGGGCCAUCCCGGCUUACCAACCCGAUGCAAACUGCGAAUACCGGAGAAUGUUAUCACGGGAGACACACGGCGGGUGCUAACGUCCGUCGUGAAGAGGGAAACAACCCAGACCGCCAGCUAAGGUCCCAAAGUCAUGGUUAAGUGGGAAACGAUGUGGGAAGGCCCAGACAGCCAGGAUGUUGGCUUAGAAGCAGCCAUCAUUUAAAGAAAGCGUAAUAGCUCACUGGUCGAGUCGGCCUGCGCGGAAGAUGUAACGGGGCUAAACCAUGCACCGAAGCUGCGGCAGCGACACUAUGUGUUGUUGGGUAGGGGAGCGUUCUGUAAGCCUGUGAAGGUGGCCUGUGAGGGUUGCUGGAGGUAUCAGAAGUGCGAAUGCUGACAUAAGUAACGAUAAAGCGGGUGAAAAGCCCGCUCGCCGGAAGACCAAGGGUUCCUGUCCAACGUUAAUCGGGGCAGGGUGAGUCGACCCCUAAGGCGAGGCCGAAAGGCGUAGUCGAUGGGAAACGGGUUAAUAUUCCCGUACUUGGUGUUACUGCGAAGGGGGGACGGAGAAGGCUAUGUUGGCCGGGCGACGGUUGUCCCGGUUUAAGCGUGUAGGCUGGUUUUCCAGGCAAAUCCGGAAAAUCAAG